CCUACGGGGGGCAGCAGUGAGGAAUAUUGGUCAAUGGGCGAGAGCCUGAACCAGCCAAGUAGCGUGAAGGAUGACUGCCCUACGGGUUGUAAACUUCUUUUAUAAAGGAAUAAAGUGAGGCACGUGUACCGUCUUGUAUGUACUAUAUGAAUAAGGAUCGGCUAACUCCGGGCCAGCAGCCGCGGUAAUACGGAGGAUCCGAGCGUUAUCCGGAUUUAUUGGGUUUAAAGGGAGCGUAGGUGGGAGGUUAAGUCAGUUGUGAAAGUUUGCGGCUCAACCGUAAGAUUGCAGUUGAUACUGGGUGCCUUGAGUGCAGUAGAGGUAGGCGGAAUUCGUGGUGUAGCGGUGAAAUGCUUAGAUAUCACGAAGAACUCCGAUUGCGAAGGCAGCUUACUGGACUGCAACUGACGUUGAUGCUCGAAAGUGUGGGUAUCAAACAGGAUUAGAUACCCGGGUAGUC
rnacentral:rRNA from 1 species